rnacentral:lncRNA from 1 species
UUAAGGAUGAUCUUAUCCUUCGGUGGCUCACAGAAAACUGCCCAUGAGAUCCUAACCUUCUCCUUAUUAACCAGACCCCUGUGGAGAAUGCUCUUGAACUUUCCAUUGCUGAGGAUCUCGAUGGUGUCUCCAAUGUGCAUGAUGAUGGAGUUGGGAACACAUUUAGCGGUCACCCACUUGCCUUGGUAAAAGAGUUGGAGGCCAGGAACCAUGUUGUGGAGAAUGAAAGUGAGUGCACUUAUAUCGGUGUGAGCUUCGACACCGAGAGCGAGUUCUGGUUGUGGACACUUGGGGUAGUAAUUGAUUUUCAAUUGAAGAAGAAGCUCUUCCACGCCACCAACUUCCUUCUCUAGCCUUCCUUCUUCUAAUCCCAAGCAAAUUGAUAGUGCUGAAAGUAUUUUGCUCGCUAGGCCUCGCAGUUGCCUUGCAUACUCACUUGUAAC